rnacentral:rRNA from 1 species
GAUGAACGCUGGCGGCGUGCCUAAUACAUGCAAGUCGAGCGAACAGACGAGGAGCUUGCUCCUCUGACGUUAGCGGCGGACGGGUGAGUAACACGUGGAUAACCUACCUAUAAGACUGGGAUAACUUCGGGAAACCGGAGCUAAUACCGGAUAACAUGUUGAACCGCAUGGUUCAACAGUGAAAGACGGUCUUGCUGUCACUUAUAGAUGGAUCCGCGCCGCAUUAGCUAGUUGGUAAGGUAACGGCUUACCAAGGCAACGAUGCGUAGCCGACCUGAGAGGGUGAUCGGCCACACUGGAACUGAGACACGGUCCAGACUCCUACGGGAGGCAGCAGUAGGGAAUCUUCCGCAAUGGGCGAAAGCCUGACGGAGCAACGCCGCGUGAGUGAAGAAGGUCUUCGGAUCGUAAAACUCUGUUAUUAGGGAAGAACAAAUGUGUAAGUAACUAUGCACGUCUUGACGGUACCUAAACAGAAAGCCACGGCUAACUACGUG